rnacentral:misc_RNA from 1 species
GUGAGUCAUCGAAUCUUUGAACGCAUAUUGCGCCCUUUGGUAUUCCGAAGGGCAUGCCUGUUCGAGCGUCAUUAUCACCCCUCAAGCCCGGCUUGUUGUUGGACCACGCCCCGCCUCGCGGCGGGACGGGCCCCAAAGAUAAUGACGGCGUCUGUGAGGACUCCAGUACACUGAGCUUUCGGGCACGUACUUGGCUAGAAAUUCAGACCCGUCCAACCCUUUUCGGCCUCCGCAAGGAGUCGAAAUAACACCAAGGUUGACCUCGGAUCAGGUAGGAAUACCCGCUGAACUUAAGCAUAUCAAUAAGCGGAGGA